rnacentral:rRNA from 1 species
AACGAACGCUGGCGGCAUGCCUAACACAUGCAAGUCGAACGAGACCUUCGGGUCGAGUGGCGCACGGGUGCGUAACGCGUGGGAACCUGCCCUGAGGUUCGGAAUAACUCCCCGAAAGGGGUGCUAAUACCGGAUAAUGUCUUCGGACCAAAGAUUUAUCGCCUUUGGAUGGGCCCGCGUUGGAUUAGCUAGUUGGUAGGGUAAAAGCCUACCAAGGCGACGAUCCAUAGGUGGUCUGAGAGGAUGAUCAGCCACACUGGGACUGAGACACGGCCCAGACUCAUACGGGAGGCAGCAGUGGGGAAUAUUGGACAAUGGGCGAAAGCCUGAUCCAGCAAUGCCGCGUGAGUGAUGAAGGCCUUAGGGUUGUAAAGCUCUUUUACCCGGGAUGAUAAUGACAGUACCGGGAGAAUAAGCGCCGGCUAACUCCGUG